rnacentral:lncRNA from 1 species
ACUUGCUCCUGUGAGAUAAGCUAACUAAAUUGAUAGAUCAAAAUAUCGAUAUUGUUAGAAAAUGUAGGACAGGAACUGUUAAUUGGAAACUGAUGACUGUCUUUCGUCGUAGAAGCUAAAAUAAUGCCUUUAAUUUUAUACAUAGUCCACAAAGUAUAUCCGGGCCAACGUACUAACAUAUGAUAAAUGCUCAAAACUUUCGAUCUAAAAAAACCAAACUGUGCAUGUAACCAGUAUCCAUUUUAUUUCCCUCAAAAGCGACUGAUUAAUUCCAGUCUAUUUUAUUUUUCAAAUUUCGAAAUAUAUCCUUAAUAAUUGACAUUGGACAAGCAAACGUUUUUCUACAAAAAAAGGAACUUAACUCGAGAGUAGUGCACAUGGGACUAUAUUAUGAACGACUCGCUUUGGGUGAACUAACAGUGCAAAAUAAGACUUCCAAUAUUGGAAGCAGACACGAUCGACCAUUAACGAAUACCAUUAUAAUCUAAGGAAGACGUUCACGUUUCUUUGGUUAAGCUCGUUUGGAAGUCAAUCUGUCCUAAAGUAGUAACUCUAUGGAACUCUCUCGGCGUGCAACAAAAUAAGAGCUAUUUCCAGGAAUACUCGAAAGAGUCAUUUGGACACCUUAAUAUCUUUCGACGCCACUGGCGUCUAUGGCGAACGCCGCAGGCGGAAGCUUAUACGGGGAGGGGAGGAAGGCCAUGCCUCCACGUUUCCGAUUUUAUCCUCUCAAACGCCACAUAAAUCCAGCAUUUCCGACACAUUUAUGAAAAGUGUUUGUGAAGGCGUGAUAUAAAAUCUGGGGGUUACCUCACUUCUCGACCAGGAAAACAAAAAUAACUAGGGGGUCGCGAAAUGUAUAGUAUAUAUUAUAUAGUAUAUAAUAUUUACCUGACAUGUCAAUCCGCCAAGUUAGUGGAAGUGAAACAACGACGUACCAAACAAUUUUAUCUAUUAUUGUUCUGAAGAGUUGAGAGGGGUUGGGGUUACAAGCCUCUUAACCUCUCCCCUAGAUCUGCCCCUGAUUUCCAACACAAAAUGUUUUAAAAAGGCAAUAUAAAAGCCAUAACAUUAGAACUAACUCCUUGUAAAAAGUUUUCGAAAAUUAACUAAGUUUGUUGUUGUUGUUUGUUAAAUAAGUAGCUUUUUGCUUCUCUAAAACAGCAAUCCUGGAAUUUUUCUCUUGCACAUGUUGGCCUUCAUUACCAAAAGCGGACAUUACUCAAAUGUGAUUCAUACAUUGAAAAUUUUAUUAUCCAGCAAUCGAUACAAUUCGGGAUGAACUGAUUCGCUUCUAGCUAAUCAAACAGCGAGUAUUUGCUGUAGCAGUACUAUUAGGUAGUCAGAAAUUUCAAUUAAUUUAGAAUGGUUAUUAGUUAGGGAUUGUAUUUUUGCUAUUACAUACAUGAAUACGUAUCCUCCGCUGUAGUUGUAUUCCUCUUUCAAUAAGUCCUAUCACAAACUGGUAUUCUUGUACAACUGACGAUGGAUGAUGUUUCAUCUGACACGUGUAUUUAAAUAUAAGAUAUGGACUUAAAAUGCAUCUUGGGGCCUGUGAAAGAAUUAUCGCAUUUUGUACUGAUAGAUUAAUAUUAUCAUGUUGAGGUUUCUUUUUUUCCUUUUCCUUUUUGUUUUGUUUUGUUUUUUUUUUGUAUUUCAGAGUUUGAGAACGACUCGACGAGAUAUGAGCGAAGUCCAGGUUGCAGUGAUCAGUGGGACUACUCAACUUGCACGAAUUACUACAAUCAAAGGUUAUGUGGCUACGGUUUCAUCAGUUCAAUGUGCCGACGUACAUGUGGGUCAUGUUAGUUUGAGAACAAUCUUGUACAUCGUAACAGUGCUUAUAACUCAUGGACUGCGUUUGUGUUAGUUCGCUUGAAACCUGACAUAAUUGAUGUUUUGUCGUGAAAAGUGCAUAGAGAAAAUAAAUGGAGCGCAAAUUAAUGAACAUGAUUGAGACUCUUUGUUUCCCCCUAUCUCAGCGUUUUUUUUUCUCUGUCUUUUAUAAAUCAUAAAUAUUUUAAAAGCGUUAAUGCCAUGUAAGUUUCGUCCGACUUUUUAGCGCCAUGUUUUUCCACAUUAAGGUAAAAAUAUUUGUACUCAUUUGCUGUCUAAUGAGAAUGUAGACCCUUAAGGGCCCAUUAACCGAUUUUUGCGCGCGCUCUCGUGCGUUGCUAAGGAGGUAAAAUUUCAC